ACCCAGACUCCUACGGGAGGCAGCAGUGAGGAAUAUUGGUCAAUGGGCGGGAGCCUGAACCAGCCAAGUCGCGUGAGGGAUGACGGCCCUAUGGGUUGUAAACCUCUUUUGCCGGGGAGCAGUGGUCCGGACGCGUCCGGACCGGGAGAGUACCCGGAGAAAAAGCAUCGGCUAACUCCGUGCCAGCAGCCGCGGUAAUACGGAGGAUGCGAGCGUUAUCCGGAUUUAUUGGGUUUAAAGGGUGCGCAGGCGGAGGUGCAAGUCAGCGGUCAAAUUGCGGGGCUCAACCCCGUACUGCCGUUGAAACUGCAUCCCUUGAGUGCGCGAGAAGUAUGCGGAAUGCGUGGUGUAGCGGUGAAAUGCAUAGAUAUCACGCAGAACUCCGAUUGCGAAGGCAGCAUACCGGCGCCCAACUGACGCUGAAGCACGAAAGCGUGGGUAUCGAACAGGAUUAGAUACCCUAGUA
rnacentral:rRNA from 1 species